rnacentral:rRNA from 1 species
GGUGCUUGCACCUUUCAAGUGAGUGGCGAACGGGUGAGUAACACGUGGACAACCUGCCUCAAGGCUGGGGAUAACAUUUGGAAACAGAUGCUAAUACCGAAUAAAACUUAGUGUCGCAUGACAAAAAGUUAAAAGGCGCUUCGGCGUCACCUAGAGAUGGAUCCGCGGUGCAUUAGUUAGUUGGUGGGGUAAAGGCCUACCAAGACAAUGAUGCAUAGCCGAGUUGAGAGACUGAUCGGCCACAUUGGGACUGAGACACGGCCCAAACUCCUACGGGAGGCUGCAGUAGGGAAUCUUCCACAAUGGGCGAAAGCCUGAUGGAGCAACGCCGCGUGUGUGAUGAAGGCUUUCGGGUCGUAAAGCACUGUUGUAUGGGAAGAACAGCUAGAAUAGGAAAUGAUUUUAGUUUGACGGUACCAUACCAGAAAGGGACGGCUAAAUACGUGCCAGCAGCCGCGGUAAUACGUAUGUCCCGAGCGUUAUCCGGAUUUAUUGGGCGUAAAGCGAGCGCAGACGGUUUAUUAAGUCUGAUGUGAAAGCCCGGAGCUCAACUCCGGAAUGGCAUUGGAAACUGGUUAACUUGAGUGCAGUAGAGGUAAGUGGAACUCCAUGUGUAGCGGUGGAAUGCGUAGAUAUAUGGAAGAACACCAGUGGCG